AUACAGUGGUUUAGGGCUUGGUCAGACACUGAAGACACCAAAGUCAACCACUGUAUCCUUGGCCAUCAUCAGUCAUCUUGACUUUUGUCUUGCCCCGGGACUUCAGUACCUCUGGAAGUGAGAGUGAGGCUCACGAUUUUGUGCAACUCUGCCUCGCUUAAGUCUAAUUCACUCAUGAGUCAAGACAUUACUUGGGAUGUCACUGACCCUCUGAAAACAAAGGACAAACACCAGCAGCUUCCACCACCACCCAGUCCAAAUGAUUCCCUUCCACAGAGGCAUUCCUGAGCUUCCAGAUGGAACGUUGCUGGCCAACAGAACUACAAGUAGGAAUUCUUUCUUCUAGAACAAAAAGUUUUGAAGGCGGGAGUAUAGAAGAUGCAGAAACUUAGGCUCAGGAAAGGAACUGACAUCUAAGGUCACAAAGGAAGCAAAUCAGCAAAGUCAGGCUUUCAACAGUGGUCAAGUAGCGACAGAACAUGGAACACCAGGAACAAGCAAAAUCCAAUGAUCGGUGCAAGAAGUUCAAGAUUUCUCAGCAGUUGUUUCAGUCUGGCCCACCAGCCCAUAGGUCCAGAGUGUGAAGACUGGGUCUUCCUACCUCCUCCAAGCUUAAAGUAUGGCAGCCUCUCACUGACCUGUUCCCACUGCUGGCCAGGAAGGUUUGACCUACUCCAUUUCUGAGCCCAUCAGCUCACCCCUCUUGCGUCAUCCUGACAGGGCCUCACCCUAUUGGUGCCAGACAUGGUGAUGACACCUCAUCAGCUUUAGCCCUACAGCAGCUCAGAACUCCCAAACUCAAGCAAUCCACCAGCUCCAUACUUCCCCCAGUAGAAGAGAUUAAAGGAAUGUU